UAGACUUAAUUCCCUACCCACCUCCCAUCUGUUUGUUCUCUAUAGGUUUUAUAAUGUUGAAAGCCUAAUCCAUGCUUCAUCUUCUGCACUGUAUCUGGAAGAGUUAUAUUGGGUAGAGGGACAGUAGCUUCCUAGAGCAGUAUUUCCUGUAAUUUAAUCACUUGGGCCAUGUCUCUGCAGAAUUUUGGUUAAGUAUUCACACACAUACACACACACACACACACAUACAUGCAUACACAUAUGCAAAUACAGUUUUAUAGUUAAAUACAUUGGGAAGCUCUUGGUUGAAAAAGGCA